rnacentral:rRNA from 1 species
UUAAGCGACUAAGCGUACACGGUGGAUGCCCUGGCAGUCAGAGGCGAUGAAGGACGUGCUAAUCUGCGAAAAGCGUCGGUAAGGUGAUAUGAACCGUUAUAACCGGCGAUGUCCGAAUGGGGAAACCCAGUGCAAUUCGUUGCACUAUCGUUAACUGAAUACAUAGGUUAACGAGGCGAACCGGGGGAACUGAAACAUCUAAGUACCCCGAGGAAAAGAAAUCAACCGAGAUUCCCCCAGUAGCGGCGAGCGAACGGGGAGCAGCCCAGAGUCUGAAUCAGCUUGUGUGUUAGUGGAACGGUCUGGAAAGUCCGACGGUACAGGGUGAUAGUCCCGUACACCAAAAUGCACAGGCUGUGAACUCGAAGAGUAGGGCGGGACACGUGGUAUCCUGUCUGAAUAUGGGGGGACCAUCCUCCAAGGCUAAAUACUCCUGACUGACCGAUAGUGAACCAGUACCGUGAGGGAAAGGCGAAAAGAACCCCGGCGAGGGGAGUGAAAAAGAACCUGAAACCGUGUACGUACAAGCAGUGGGAGCACCUUCGGGUGUGACUGCGUACCUUUUGUAUAAUGGGUCAGCGACUUAUAUUCUGUAGCAAGGUUAACCGUAUAGGGGAGCCGCAGGGAAACCGAGUCUUAACUGGGCGUUAAGUUGCAGGGUAUAGACCCGAAACCCGGUGAUCUAGCCAUGGGCAGGUUGAAGGUUGGGUAACACUAACUGGAGGACCGAACCGACUAAUGUUGAAAAAUUAGCGGAUGACUUGUGGCUGGGGGUGAAAGGCCAAUCAAACCGGGAGAUAGCUGGUUCUCCCCGAAAGCUAUUUAGGUAGCGCCUCGUGAAUUCAUCUUCGGGGGUAGAGCACUGUUUCGGCUAGGGGGUCAUCCCGACUUACCAACCCGAUGCAAACUACGAAUACCGAAGAAUGUUAUCACGGGAGACACACGGCGGGUGCUAACGUCCGUCGUGAAGAGGGAAACAACCCAGACCGCCAGCUAAGGUCCCAAAGUCAUGGUUAAGUGGGAAACGAUGUGGGAAGGCACAGACAGCCAGGAUGUUGGCUUAGAAGCAGCCAUCAUUUAAAGAAAGCGUAAUAGCUCACUGGUCGAGUCGGCCUGCGCGGAAGAUGUAACGGGGCUAAACCAUGCACCGAAGCUGCGGCAGCGACACUAUGUGUUGUUGGGUAGGGGAGCGUUCUGUAAGCCUGCGAAGGUGUGCUGUGAGGCAUGCUGGAGGUAUCAGAAGUGCGAAUGCUGACAUAAGUAACGAUAAAGCGGGUGAAAAGCCCGCUCGCCGGAAGACCAAGGGUUCCUGUCCAACGUUAAUCGGGGCAGGGUGAGUCGACCCCUAAGGCGAGGCCGAAAGGCGUAGUCGAUGGGAAACAGGUUAAUAUUCCUGUACUUGGUGUUACUGCGAAGGGGGGACGGAGAAGGCUAUGUUAGCCGGGCGACGGUUGUCCCGGUUUAAGCAUGUAGGCUGAUUGUCCAGGCAAAUCCGGAUAAUCAAGGCUGAGGUGUGAUGACGAGGCACUACGGUGCUGAAGUAACAAAUGCCCUGCUUCCAGGAAAAGCCUCUAAGCAUCAGGUAACAUCAAAUCGUACCCCAAACCGACACAGGUGGUCAGGUAGAGAAUACCAAGGCGCUUGAGAGAACUCGGGUGAAGGAACUAGGCAAAAUGGUGCCGUAACUUCGGGAGAAGGCACGCUGGUGUGUAGGUGAAGUCCCUGCGGAUGGAGCUGAGACCAGUCGAAGAUACCAGCUGGCUGCAACUGUUUAUUAAAAACACAGCACUGUGCAAACACGAAAGUGGACGUAUACGGUGUGACGCCUGCCCGGUGCCGGAAGGUUAAUUGAUGGGGUUAUCCGUAAGGAGAAGCUCUUGAACGAAGCCCCGGUAAACGGCGGCCGUAACUAUAACGGUCCUAAGGUAGCGAAAUUCCUUGUCGGGUAAGUUCCGACCUGCACGAAUGGCGUAAUGAUGGCCAGGCUGUCUCCACCCGAGACUCAGUGAAAUUGAACUCGCUGUGAAGAUGCAGUGUACCCGCGGCAAGACGGAAAGACCCCGUGAACCUUUACUAUAGCUUGACACUGAACAUUGAGCCUUGAUGUGUAGGAUAGGUGGGAGGCUUUGAAGCGUGGACGCCAGUCUGCGUGGAGCCAACCUUGAAAUACCACCCUUUAAUGUUUGAUGUUCUAACGUUGGCCCCUGACCGGGGUUGCGGACAGUGUCUGGUGGGUAGUUUGACUGGGGCGGUCUCCUCCCAAAGCGUAACGGAGGAGCACGAAGGUUAGCUAAUCCUGGUCGGACAUCAGGAGGUUAGUGCAAUGGCAUAAGCUAGCUUGACUGCGAGCGUGACGGCGCGAGCAGGUGCGAAAGCAGGUCAUAGUGAUCCGGUGGUUCUGAAUGGAAGGGCCAUCGCUCAACGGAUAAAAGGUACUCCGGGGAUAACAGGCUGAUACCGCCCAAGAGUUCAUAUCGACGGCGGUGUUUGGCACCUCGAUGUCGGCUCAUCACAUCCUGGGGCUGAAGUAGGUCCCAAGGGUAUGGCUGUUCGCCAUUUAAAGUGGUACGCGAGCUGGGUUUAGAACGUCGUGAGACAGUUCGGUCCCUAUCUGCCGUGGGCGCUGGAGAAUUGAGGGGGGCUGCUCCUAGUACGAGAGGACCGGAGUGGACGCAUCACUGGUGUUCGGGUUGUCAUGCCAAUGGCACUGCCCGGUAGCUAAAUGCGGAAGAGAUAAGUGCUGAAAGCAUCUAAGCACGAAACUUGCCCCGAGAUGAGUUCUCCCUGAGACUUUAAGUCUCCUGAAGGAACGUUAAAGACGAUGACGUUGAUAGGCCGGGUGUGUAAGCGCAGCGAUGCGUUGAGCUAACCGGUACUAAUGAACCGUGAGGCUUAACCUU